GCUGGAUUUCACCCAGUGAUUGACACAGACCACUCACCAUGGAGCUGGGGCUGUGCUGGGUUUUCCUUGCUGCUCUUUUAAAAGGUGUCCAGUGUGAGGUGCAGCUGGUGGAGUCUGGGGGAGGCUUGGUGCAGCCUGGGGGGUCCCUGAGACUCUCCUGUGCAGCCUCCGGAUUCACCUUCAGUGAUUACUACAUGAGCUGGAUCAGCCAGCCUCCAGGGAAGAGGCCUGAGUGGCUCUCAUACAUCAGUGGCAGUAGUAGUGACAUAAACUAUGCAGGCUCCGUGAAGGGCCGCUUCACCAUCUCCAGAGACAACAGCAAGAACACACUUUACCUGCAGAUGAACAGCCUGAGAGAGGAGGACACGGCCCUCUAUUACUGUGCCAGAGACACACUUAUAUGGUCUCAAGAUUCCAACAUGCCUGCCUCAGGCUCCCAAAAGUACAGUUAG